AGCGUUAUCGCUAAAACUAUUGAAUUACAAAACGGACAAAAGUACGACCCAGGACAACCCAGUCGAACAAACAGCACCGAAAAAGAUCUGUGCAAACCUUAGCAAGAUCAAGGACUUCUUACAAGCUCCAAAAACAAAACUUGCGUAUAAUUUGAUAUCGUAUGUGAUGUUUCUGAGCCUUUUCGCGUACGUACUGCUGUUUGAUCUCGCAUCAACGAUCUCGAACUUGGAAUAUGUAUUGAUGACAUGGGUAAUGGCUAUACUGGGAGAAGAAAUAAGACAGAUGGCUACGUCGAAUGAGAAAAAAGAGUACUUCUCGAAUGGAUGGAAUAUCAUUGAUAUGUGUACAAUCGCCAUGUUUUUUAUCGGAUUUGGACUGCGAUUCAAACACUUUCAAGACGCGUUGGAUUGGCCCAGAGUCGUGCUUGCUGUCGAUUUUGUAGCGUUCUUCUUCAGACUGAUCCACAUCUUCUCUGUUCAAAAUGUCCUUGGUCCCAAACUUAUUAUGAUUCAACAA